rnacentral:rRNA from 1 species
UAGGGAAUCUUCCACAAUGGGCGAAAGCCUGAUGGAGUAACGCCGCGUGUGUGAUGAAGGGUUUCGGCUCGUAAAACACUGUUGUAAGAGAAGAAUGACAUUGAGAGUAACUGUUCAAUGUGUGACGGUAUCUUACCAGAAAGGAACGGCUAAAUACGUGUCAG